AGCAGCCGCGGUAAUUCCAGCUCCAAUAGCGUAUAUUAAAGUUGUUGCAGUUAAAAAGCUCGUAGUUGAAUUUCGAGACCGGUUUAUUGGUCGUGCUUUUGUACGUACUGGUAUUAUUGGUUUCUCCUUUCUGACGAAUCAUAAUGCCAUUAAUUUGGUGUUUUGGGGAAUCAGGACUGUUACUUUGAAAAAUUAGAGUGUUUAAAGCAGGCUUACGCUUAAAUACAUUAGCAUGGAAUAACGAAAUAGGACGUUUGAUUUUAUUUUGUUGGUUUCUAGGAUCGACGUAAUGAUUAAUAGGGAUAGUUGGGGGCAUUAGUAUUCAAUUGUCAGAGGUGAAAUUCUUGGAUUUAUUGAAGACUAACUACUGCGAAAGCAUUUGCCAAGGAUGUUUUCAUUAAUCAAGAACGAAAGUUAGGGGAUCGAAGACGAUCAGAUACCGUCGUAGUCUUAACCAUAAACUAUGCCGACUAGGGAUCGGAUGAUGUUAAUUUUUAAUGACUCAUUCGGCGCCUUA
rnacentral:rRNA from 1 species